UACGGGGGGGGCAAGCGUUGUUCGGAAUUACUGGGCGUAAAGGGUUCGUAGGCGGCCAACUAAGUCAGACGUGAAAUCCCUCGGCUUAACCGGGGAACUGCGUCUGAUACUGGAUGGCUUGAGUUCGGGAGAGGGAUGCGGAAUUCCAGGUGUAGCGGUGAAAUGCGUAGAUAUCUGGAGGAACACCGGUGGCGAAGACGGCAACCUGGACCGACACUGACGCUGAGGAGCGAAAGCCAGGGGAGCAAACGGG
rnacentral:rRNA from 1 species